rnacentral:rRNA from 1 species
UGCUAUACAUGCAGUCGAACGAGGCCCUUUGUAUUCGUACGAAGGUGUCCUAGUGGCGAACGGGUGAGUAACACGUAGGUGACCUGCCCCGAAGAGGGGGACAACCCCGGGAAACUGGGGCUAAUACCCCAUAACCUCCAGGGAGUUAGAGGGCCCUGGAGAAAAGGGAGCAAUCCGCUUCGGGAGGGGCCUGCGGCCCAUCAGCUAGUUGGUAGGGUAACGGCCUACCAAGGCGACGACGGGUAGGGGACCUGAGAGGGUGGCCCCCCACAAUGGCACUGAAACACGGGCCAUACGUCUACGGACGGCAGCAGUAGGGAAUAUUGCACAAUGGGCGAAAGCCUGAUGCAGCAACGCCGCGUGCGCGAUGAAGGCCUUCGGGUUGUAAAGCGCUUUUCUGGGGGAAGAGGAAGGACGGUACCCCAGGAAUAAGUCUCGGCUAACUACGUGCCAGCAGCCGCGGUAAAACGUAGGAGGCAAGCGUUAUCCGGAUUUACUGGGCGUAAAGCGCGUGUAGGCGGUUUGAUAAGUCGGACGUGAAAGCUCCCGGCUCAACUGGGAGAGGCCGUUCGAGACUGUCAGACUAGAGGGCAGUAGAGGGAGGUGGAAUUCUGGGUGUGGCGGUGAAAUGCGUAGAUAUCCAGAGGAACACCAGUGGCGAAGGCGGCCUCCUGGCCUGUCCCUGACGCUCAGACGCGAAAGCUAGGGGAGCGAACGGGAUUAGAAACCCCGGUAGUCCUAGCCGUAAACGAUGCAAACUUGGUGUUGGUGGUUUAAAAACCAUCAGUGCCGGAGCUAACGCGGUAAGUUUGCCGCCUGGGGACUACGGUCGCAAGGCUAAAACUCAAAGGAAUUGACGGGGCCCCGCACAAGCAGCGGAGCGUGUGGUUUAAUUCGAGGCUACGCGAAGAUCCUUACCUGGGUUUGACAUGCACGUAGUAGGGAUCCGAAAGGUGACCGACCCUUCGGGGAGCGUGCACAGGUGCUGCAUGGCUGUCG